rnacentral:rRNA from 1 species
AGCUCUCCGAGUGGUGUGGAUGUUUAUUGGGCCUAAAGCAUCCGUAGCUGGCUAAGUUAGUCCCUUGUUAAAUCCACCGAAUUAAUCGUUGGAUUGCGGGGGAUACUGCUUGGCUAGGGGAUGAGAGAGGCAGACGGUAUUUCCGGGGUAGGGGUGAAAUCCUAUAAUCCCGGGAAGACCACCAGUGGCGAAGGCUGUCUGCUAGAACGCGCCCGACGGUGAGGGAUGAAAGCUGGGGGAGCGAACC